GGAUUUUAUGGUUUUAGGUCUAAAUUUAAGUCUUCAAUCCAUCUUGAAUUAAUUUUUGUAUAAGGUGUAAGGAAGAGAUCCAGUUUCAGCUUUCUACAUAUGGCUGAGAAAAGAACUUUUAUCUCAGGAGUAUGAAUCCUUUUAAACUAUUAGGUCCAGAGAGACAGUAAAAUCAGGCAGCAGUCACAUCACAUACACCCCUUGACCUUAUGCGUGCAUCUCUUGAAACUGCUUGCUGCUGCUACAAGUAGCUAUGAAUCAAUGUAGUGAUACCACGUCAGACACUGUACCCCGUGCCCUGUACCCUACAGUUAUGAGUCAACCUAGUGACAUACACUGGACACCAUACCCCAUGCCCUGUACCCUAUAGCUGUGAGUCAACCUAGUGACAUGCACCGGACACUGUACCCCAUGCCCUGUACCCUACAGCUGUGAGUCAACCUAGUGACAUGCACCAGACACCUUACCCCAUACCCUGUACCCUACAGUUGAGUCAAUCUAGUGACAUGCACCGGAUGCCGUACUCCAUGCCCUGUACCCUACAGUUAUGAGUCAACCUAGUGACAUACACUGGACACCGUACCCCAUGCCCUGUACCCUACAGUUAUGAGUCAACCUAGUGACAUACACCGGACACCAUACCCCAUGCCCUGUACCCUACAGCUGUGAGUCAACCUAGUGACAUGCACCAGACACCGUACCCCAUGCCCUGUACCCUACAGCUGUGAGUCAACCUAGUGACAUGCACCGGACACCAUACCCCAUACCCUGUACCCUACAGCUGUGAGUCAACCUAGUGACAUGCACCAGACACCUUACCCCAUGCCCUGUACCCUACAGCUGUGAGUCAACCUAGUGACAUGCACCAGACACCUUACCCCAUACCCUGUACCCUACAGUUGAGUCAAUCUAGUGACAUGCACCGGAUGCCGUACUCCAUGCCCUGUACCCUACAGUUAUGAGUCAACCUAGUGACAUACAUUGGACACCGUACUCCAUGCCCUGUACCCUACAGUUAUGAGUCAACCUAGUGACAUACAUUGGACACCGUACUCCAUGCCCUGUACCCUACAGUUAUGAGUCAACCUAGUGACAUACACUGGACACCGUACCCCAUGCCCUGUACCCUACAGCUGUGAGUCAACCUAGUAACAUGCACCAGACACCUUACCCCAUACCUUGUACCCUACAGUUAUGAGUCAACCUAGUGACAUACACUGGACACUGUACCCCAUGCCAUGUACCCUCCAGUUAUGAAUCAACCUAGUGACAUCCACUGGACUCCAUACCCCAUGCCCUGAACCCUACAGGUAUGAGUCAGCCUAAUGAUGCCACACCAGAUGCUGUUACUGGCAUCCUAUAGGUUAAUAAUGUACAGCCAAUCACUCGGCACUGUUGUUUCUGUAAACCGACAAGAAUUCCUGACAGUCAACUUGCUGUCAGCCCACUCCUCAUCCUCUUCUUUUGCCUUUAAAAACCCACUUGUGGCCAGGCGUGGUGGCUCACACCUGUAAUCCCAGCACUUUGGGAGGCCGAGUUGGGCGGAUCACCUGAGGUCAGGAGUUCAAGACCAGCUUGGCCAACAUGAUGAAACCCUAUCUCUACUAAAAAUACAAAAGUUAGCCAGGCAUAGUGGCAUGUGCCUGUAAUCCCAGCCACCUGGGAGGCUGAGUCAGGAGCAUUGCUUGAACCCAGGAAUUGGAGGUUUCAGUGAGCCGAGAUUGCGCCACUGUACUCUAGCCUGGGUGACAGAGUGAGACUCCAUCUCAAAAUCAACAACAAAAAAAUAAAAAAAUAACCCCACUUGUAACUGCUGCUUCUCAGAGCAUAUAUUAUCAGAGCAUAUACUCAGGGCAACUUGAAUCUCUGCUCCCAGCUGCAAUCCUCAAGCUUGGCCCAAAUAAACUGCCUACUUAUAUUAACUUUGCCUCGGAUUCUUCCUUUUAGGUUGACUAUCUGGUAUAGUCUGCAGGAUUUAGAGUGUCUUCCCCUGACCACACGGUGUUUCUCUCUGAAAGCGGCACUUGGUACCAGCACAAACUCUGUCUUCAGAAGUCCCACCAGGUGUUUUGGGGCACCAACUAUCAGGCCUCCCGGAUGGUAUCAAGGAGCUCAAACUCACCAGGUCACCACAUCUGGACAAUGAGAGGCCAAACCCCUCACCCGCCAUGACUGCCUAACCACCCACCUGCUGCCUGUUGACUGACUCCUCUUCCUUAUCCCUCCCUAGUUCCUGUUUUCCUGCAUGUAAGUUACAUUUCUUCCCUGCUAUAUAAACCCCUAAUUUUAGUCCGUCAGGGAGAUGGAUUUGAGACUGCUCUCCCAUCUCCUCAGCUGCAGCACCGAUUAAAGCCUUCUUCCCUGGCCAUACUUGUCUCAGUGAUGGGCUUUGUGGGCAGAAAGCAGCAGGACCUAGAUCAAACCCCUAGCAUUUUGGUAACACCACUCUUUGGUUGAAAGUCCUGACUUAUUUAGGCUGUUUUUCAAACUCUUUAUUUUAAGAGUAAGGGCUUUGCUCUCUGUCUUUGGAUAGGAGAUUCAGGUAAAGAGCUCCGUAGAGAAAGUUUUUCCACCUCUGUCUCAGGACAAGGGAUUUGGGUCAAACUUUUUCUGUCCCUGUCUCACAGCAGAGGUUCAGGUCAACGGAUUUGCCGUUAGGCGUUUGUGAUCUCUUUGUACAUUGUAUGCUUUUAAAAAUUGCAGUUACUUUUCUAUUUUUGAAAUGUGGGCCUGAUUUUUCAUUUGUGGCAAACUCCUAUUAAAUACCAGCAGGUUUUACAUACAUUAUAGAUAUCUAGGAAAGGGGACCUACCUAACCAAGGAUGAUCAUAAACAACAAUGACCAAAAAUGGAAGUCUUUUGAAAUACCUAAAAUAAUUCAUUUGUACACACAAUUGGAAAAAGCCACUUUUAGAAACAAAUUAAAUGGAAGACUUCCAGCGGCACCUAAAAAGCUUCUAAAAUAAAUUCUGAGAAAAUCGCCUCCCUUCAGGAGGUAAACAAAGAGAUACCUGUCACUACCACCUGAGGAAACUCCCCAGGUCUCUGACCCCCUCCCUGAAACUCCUAUUGUGGCAGCUCAGUGUCACCACAAACCCUUCUGGUUCUGGGGGCUGCCCAGUAUUCUUCAACUAUUCUCCACUCGAUUAAAAAGACCACCCAAUGAGCAAGAUGGGUCUCCAAAAAACACCUUUGUUGCCUAGCUGACAAUUGCUUAGGGCAAUAAAACAAAUAACUAUAAAAGACUAAUAGUCUAAAAGAGGGGAAUGGACAAAAAUAAAAUUAGAUCAUUAAAAUGCAGAUCCAACAAAUUUUUUCUGCUUUAGGACUCUAAUGACUGACUGAUGAAAUGCUGACAUCCAGGGAAUUAGCUAAGUAGCAUUCCAGCUGAAAUCAGAUAAAAAACAACUUUAAAUCCUUUAAAUGUUCCAACUACCUGCUUUGGAUCCCCUGCAAGAUUUACCCACAAAAAGGAAGCAUGUCCACCCUGUGGCCUAAUGACUGGGGUUUGGUGCUUUCACUGCUGCAGCCUGGCUCCUUCCUCAUCAGGGAGCCAGUCCCUUUUGGUUUGGUAUUUGUGAUAGCUUCCAACUUCGUGGGAUACUGCUUCGCCACUCAGGAAGGUUCCUUUGGUAAAAAUGAUUCAAAACACAGAACUAUCAUCUGUUUGUCCUGGCUAAAAUCUGAUAAAGAGAUAUGAAUUUUUUUUUUUUAAUUUUGAGAC
rnacentral:lncRNA from 10 species